rfam:Pteropus alecto contig72581, whole genome shotgun sequence.
GUCUAUGGCCACGCCCCCCUGAACGUGCCCGAUCCUGUCCGAUCUCGGAAGCUAAGCAGGGUCGGGCCUGGUUGGUACUUGGAUGGGAGACCACCUAGGAAGACCAGGUGCUGUAGGCG